GAUGAACGCUGGCGGCGUGCCUAAUACAUGCAAGUCGAGCGAAUGGAUUAAGAGCUUGCUCUUAUGAAGUUAGCGGCGGACGGGUGAGUAACACGUGGGUAACCUGCCCAUAAGACUGGGAUAACUCCGGGAAACCGGGGCUAAUACCGGAUAACAUUUUGAACCGCAUGGUUCGAAAUUGAAAGGCGGCUUCGGCUGUCACUUAUGGAUGGACCCGCGUCGCAUUAGCUAGUUGGUGAGGUAACGGCUCACCAAGGCAACGAUGCGUAGCCGACCUGGGAGGGUGAGCGGCCACCCUGGGACUGAGACACGGCCCAGACUCCUACGGGAGGUAGCAGUAGGGAAUCUUCCGCAAUGGACGAAAGUCUGACGGAGCAACGCCGCGUGAGUGAUGAAGGCUUUCGGGUCGUAAAACUCUGUUGUUAGGGAAGAACAAGUGCUAGUUGAAUAAGCUGGCACCUUGACGGUACCUAACCAGAAAGCCACGGCUAACUACGUGCCAGCCGCCGCGGUAA
rnacentral:rRNA from 1 species